rnacentral:rRNA from 1 species
GCCCUAGUAACGGCGAGUGAAGCGGCAACAGCUCAAAUUUGAAAUCUGGCGCAAGCCCGAGUUGUAAUUUGCAGAGGAUGCUUCUGGGCAGCGGCCGGUCUAAGUUCCUUGGAACAGGACGUCAUAGAGGGUGAGAAUCCCGUAUGCGACCGGUUGGCACCCGUCACGUAGCUCCUUCGACGAGUCGAGUUGUUUGGGAAUGCAGCUCUAAAUGGGAGGUAAAUGUCUUCUAAAGCUAAAUACCGGCCAGAGACCGAUAGCGCACAAGUAGAGUGAUCGAAAGAUGAAAAGCACUUUGGAAAGAGAGUUAAAAAGCACGUGAAAUUGUUGAAAGGGAAGCGCAUGCAACCAGACUUGUCGGCGGUGUUCCGCCGGUCUUUUGACCGGUCUACUCGCCGCCGGCAGGCCAGCAUCGUCUGGGAGCGCCGGAGAAAGGCGCCGGGAAUGUAGCCCCUCGGGGUGUUAUAGCCCGGUGCACAAUACGGCGCCUCCCGGGCGAGGUCCGCGCUUCGGCUAGGAUGCUGGCGUAAUGGUCGUUUGCGGCCCGUCUUGAAACACGGACCAAGGAGUCUAACAUCUAUGCGAGUGUUCGGGUGUCAAACCCCUACGCGUAAUGAAAGUGAACGGAGGUGGGAACCGCAAGGUGCACCAUCGACCGAUCCUGAUGUCUUCGGAUGGAUUUGAGUAAGAGCAUAGCUGUUGGGACCCGAAAGAUGGUGAACUAUGCCUGAAUAGGGUGAAGCCAGAGGAAACUCUGGUG